GAUGAACGCUGGCGGCGUGCCUAAUACAUGCAAGUCGAGCGAACAGACGAGGAGCUUGCUCCUCUGACGUUAGCGGCGGACGGGUGAGUAACACGUGGAUAACCUACCUAUAAGACUGGGAUAACUUCGGGAAACCGGAGCUAAUACCGGAUAAUAUAUUGAACCGCAUGGUUCAAUAGUGAAAGACGGUUUUGCUGUCACUUAUAGAUGGAUCCGCGCCGCAUUAGCUAGUUGGUAAGGUAACGGCUUACCAAGGCAACGAUGCGUAGCCGACCUGAGAGGGUGAUCGGCCACACUGGAACUGAGACACGGUCCAGACUCCUACGGGAGGCAGCAGUAGGGAAUCUUCCGCUAUGGGCGAAAGCUUGACGGAGCAACGCCGCGUGAGUGAUGAAGGUCUUCGGAUCGUAAAACUCUGUUAUUAGGGAAGAACAAAUGUGUAAGUAACUAUGCACGUCUUGACGGUACCUAAUCAGAAAGCCACGGCUAACUACGUG
rnacentral:rRNA from 1 species